UCCGUAGGGCGCAAGCGUUAUCCGGAAUUAUUGGGCGUAAAGAGCUCGUAGGCGGUUUGUCGCGUCUGCCGUGAAAGUCCGGGUCUCAACUCCGGAUCUGCGGUGGGUACGGGCAGACUAGAGUGAUGUAGGGGAGACUGGAAUUCCUGGUGUAGCGGUGAAAUGCGCAGAUAUCAGGAGGAACACCGAUGGCGAAGGCAGGUCUCUGGGCAUUAACUGACGCUGAGGAGCGAAAGCAUGGGGAGCGAACAGG
rnacentral:rRNA from 1 species